AGAUUGAACGCUGGCGGCAUGCCUUACACAUGCAAGUCGAACGGCAGCACGGGAGCAAUCCUGGUGGCGAGUGGCGAACGGGUGAGUAAUACAUCGGAACGUGCCCAAUCGUGGGGGAUAACGCAGCGAAAGCUGUGCUAAUACCGCAUAAGAUCUACGAAUGAAAGCAGGGGAUCGCAAGACCUUGCGCGAAUGGAGCGGCCGAUGGCAGAUUAGGUAGUUGGUAGAGGUAAGGCUCACCAAGCCUUCGAUCUGUAGCUGGUCUGGAGAGGACGACCAGCCACACGUGGGACCUAGGACGACGACCGGCCGAGACC
rnacentral:rRNA from 1 species